GAGACGACGUGAAUCCCACGAGCGUGAACGUGACAAAGAAUCAAGUCGUGAGAGGGAUCCGAGUCCAUAUAGAAGGCAUGAGCGUUCACGGUCACGUUCUCGUGGUCAUGAUGAUCGGCUGAGGUCAAGAUCUCCUCGAAGUCGAAGUCAUAGUCGCAGCCACAGAGAGGACAGUUAUGAUGACGGCCGAUACGAUAGAAGUGAGAGACGAAGAGAUCGUGAUGAUAAAAGAUACCAUGACAAUUAUUCUGUGGCUCCUUCAGCGACUGUUGUUGUCAAAGGCCUUUCACAAAAAACUACUGAAGAAGAUUUGUAUCAAAUCCUUGCUGAGUGGGGUCCCUUACGCCAUGUUCGUGUGAUCAAAGAGCGAAAUUCUGGCAUUUCUCGUGGAUU
rnacentral:misc_RNA from 1 species